rnacentral:tRNA from 1 species
UUUUCGAAGCAUUAAUAAGAUGUAUUUUAUUUACAAUAAAAAGAUUUUUAUAACGAACAA